rnacentral:tRNA from 1 species
GGGGUUGUGGCUCAGUAGCAGAGCACUUGCCUGGCAAGUGUGAGGCACUGGGUUCGAUUCUCAGCACCA